UAACGCGUAGGUAACCUGCCUUGUAGCGGGGGAUAACUAUUGGAAACGAUAGCUAAUACCGCAUAACAAUGGAUGACACAUGUCAUUUAUUUGAAAGGGGCAAUUGCUCCACUACAAGAUGGACCUGCGUUGUAUUAGCUAGUAGGUGAGGUAACGGCUCACCUAGGCGACGAUACAUAGCCGACCUGAGAGGGUGAUCGGCCACACUGGGACUGAGACACGGCCCAGACUCCUACGGGAGGCAGCAGUAGGGAAUCUUCGGCAAUGGGGGCAACCCUGACCGAGCAACGCCGCGUGAGUGAAGAAGGUUUUCGGAUCGUAAAGCUCUGUUGUAAGUCAAGAACGAGUGUGAGAGUGGAAAGUUCACACUGUGACGGUAGCUUACCAGAAAGGGACGGCUAACUACGUGCCAGCAGCCGCGGUAAUACGUAGGUCCCGAGCGUUGUCCGGAUUUAUUGGGCGUAAAGCGAGCGCAGGCGGUUUGAUAAGUCUGAAGUUAAAGGCUGUGGCUCAACCAUAGUUCGCUUUGGAAACUGUCAAACUUGAGUGCAGAAGGGGAGAGUGGAAUUCCAUGUGUAGCGGUGAAAUGCGUAGAUAUAUGGAGGAACACCGGUGGCGAAAGCGGCUCUCUGGUCUGUAACUGACGCUGAGGCUCGAAAGCGUGGGGAGCGAACAGGAUUAGAUACCCUGGUAGUCCACGCCGUAAACGAUGAGUGCUAGGUGU
rnacentral:rRNA from 1 species